UACCAACCCAGACUAUUUCAUUUCCAUGGUGACAAGCGAGGAGUCAUGGUGAAAGAGAUCCCUCGUAUGGAGAAGUACAUCGAUGACACAGAUGUGUACAUACUGGACCUUGGACUUCAUAUCUACCAAUAUAAUGGUCAGGGCUCCAACAAAGACGAAAGAGUCAGGGCUCUGCAGUAUGUUAACUCACUAAGGGCUGAAAGAAGUGGAAAAGCUGUGAAAACGACAGUUCUAGACCAAGUAGCCGGUGGAACGGGGGUGUUCUUUCGACAUCUGGACCAGACAGAGAGUGAAGACUUUGAAUCUGAAGAAAACAUGGAAUCAAUUGAUGUUUCUGAACAUGAACAACUCUACAGACUAUCAGAUGCAGACGGUUCGUUGAAGUUUUCAUUGGAAAAAGAAGGCCCCGUUGGACUGAAAGAUUUUGAUGGCAACGAUGUCUUUAUUUUUGACACAAAACAAGAACUCUUUGUGUGGGUUGGUAACCACACAACCCACGAAGAGAGGAAAAACGCUUUGAUAUAUGCCCAUAAUUACUUGAAGAAGACCAGCCAUCCCUUAAUUCCUGUGAGUUGUCUGAAUGAGGGGGCCGAAAACAAAUCAUUCAGUAUGGCACUGACCGCCUAGGGCUUUGGAAACUUAACUCUUCUAUUUGGGAUAAAACCCAAUCAAAACGAUAUACAAAAAUACAAAUCAAUGAUAGUUGAAUAAAUCAAAAACAUCAUUAACUUUUUAUAUUAAUAGUUUGAUUUUGUUUGGUUAAGGGUUAUCCAAUUCUUGCAAUUUUUGUUUAUUAUGAACAUAAGUAUUUUCUGUUUAUCUUUAACAUGCUGGACAAGGUGUUAUUAAUUGAUUUAUUGAUAGCUUGAUAAUAAGAUGUUUAUCUCUUUUACUAAAUGAACAAUGUUUUUACACAUU
rnacentral:misc_RNA from 1 species